GAGUUCUGCUACUCUCCUACAGCUUACUCACCCUUCCUUCCUGUUGAGUCAUUCUCUCUGAUUCUCCGCAGUAUGGACUGCAGAAGUCUUUGCUGCACCUAUCAAACAUUUUUUUGUUUGUUUGUUUUAUGUAAGAGCAACGGCCAUCAAGUAAAACUCAUAAAGCUUAGGUACAUAACUUAAUACUUUACAUUUUCAUUUUAAAAAGACUUGUGUGUGACGUAUGAGCAUGGUAUGUAUGCACCCGUGUGUGCGGAUGCAUGUGCACAUGCUCACACAUACAAGGGCUCAGAUAUUGGCUAUCUUAUUCUGCUCUGGUUUGUUUUCUGUUACUGUAACAAAAACACACACCAAAACCAGCCUGGGGAAGAAGGGUUUAUUUGAGUCACAGGUUAGAGUUCAGGAUGGAGAGAAGCUACAGCAGGAGAAGGGGCUUGAGCAGUGAGGAAUGUGCUUACCGGCUUGCUUCCACUGACCUACUCCACUAGGUGGUCCAGGUCCAUCUUCCUAGGGAUCGUACCACCCAUAGUGGACUGGGCCCUCCUCCAAUAACUAGCAAUUAAGAAAAUGCUUCACAAGACAAACAUGGCCACAGAUCAAUCUGAUCAAGGCAAUUCUGCAGGUGAAGCUCCCUCUUCCCAGGGCAGGAUGACACUAUUAAUGUCCAUCAAGUGGGGAGAAGAAAUUGAAGUGUUCAUUUACAGAGGAAAACCAAGGUGCUAUUAAAAGCUAUGCUUGCACUGCUAAUGUCUAAGACAGCAGAGGACUUGAUAUCAAACUACAGCCCCAGAGCUUGGACUGAAGAUGUGGAGACCCUGAGGAAGCCAACUCUUCAACUGUCAGAUUUGUCCUGGGUGUGGCCAGGGAGGGAGAUAAUUCAGGGCUGUGACUUUAACAGCGCUGAGCUGGCCUGCCUGCAAGCAGUCUAUGCCAGUAAGCUCUGCAUUGCAGAGCUCUGGGGUUCUGGCUGAGAAGGCCAUGCCGAGCACCUCCCCUGAACCUCGUGCUCAGCAGCACCACCCUCCUGGCCUGCAACCACAGAGUAAUACAUGGGGGAGAAAAGACACAAAUUCUGCUUUCUUUAAACAAGGCUCUGACUCAAUAAUUCAUCAGAGGCAAAGUGUUUAAUGGGGAACAAGCAAUUCCUAAAGCUUGGGUCAAAAAUGCUUUUAGACAGACCCAGCAUUGCAAAUCUACGGGAAAUUCAAGAAAGCCCUUGAGUCUAGGGAGAUAUCUCUGCUGGGGAAGUGCUUGUCCUGGGAUCUUAAGGGCAUUAAUUUGGAUCCCUAAAACACACAUAAAAAGGCUG